rnacentral:rRNA from 1 species
AGAGUUUGAUCAUGGCUCAGAUUCAACGCUGGCGGUAUGCUUAACACAUGCAAGUCGAACGGUAACAGUCCCUCACCUAGAAAUUUCUUAAAAAGAGAUUUGUAGGUGAGGGAGCUGACGAGUGGCGGACGGGUGCGUAAUGUAUAGGAAUCUGCCUAGUAGUGGGGGACAACUCGGAGAAAUUCGAGCUAAUACCGCAUAAGCCCUACGGGGGAAAACGGGGGAUCUUCGGACCUCGUGCUAUUAGAUGAGCCUAUAUUAGAUUAGCUUGUUGGUGAGGUAAUGGCUCACCAAGGCGACGAUCUAUAGCUGGUCUGAGAGGAUGAUCAGCCACACUGGGACUGAGACACGGCCCAGACUCCUACGGGAGGCAGCAGUGGGGAAUAUUGGACAAUGGGCGAAAGCCUGAUCCAGCAAUACCGCGUGUGUGAAGAAGGCCUGAGGGUUGUAAAGCACUUUCAAUUGGGAGGAAUACCUAAUAGUUAAUAGCUAUUAGAUUGGC